ensembl:snoRNA SNORD116 Small nucleolar RNA SNORD116
GGAUGGAUGAUGACACCAUAAUAACAUUCCAUGGAAAAGCUGAACAAAAUAAGUGGCAUCUCUAAACCGUCGUUCUCAUUGUAACUGAGAUCU